rnacentral:sRNA from 1 species
UAAUCAAUAUUAAAUGACACAUGAUAUUUUCUUAUGUGAUGAUGUGUCACCCAUAUGGAGAGAGUUGGCCAACUUUCAUAUAUAUGAUUUCUUUAAAAACCUCAUUUAUCUUAGAACCCUCCAUUGAGGAUGGCCUAACAUCA